rnacentral:rRNA from 1 species
UUGCGCUGGCGGCGGCCUAAACAUGCAAGUCGAGCGGAUGACGGGAGCUUGCUCCUUGAUUCAGCGGCGGACGGGUGAGUAAUGCCUAGGAAUCUGCCUGGUAGUGGGGGACAACGUUUCGAAAGGAACGCUAAUACCGCAUACGUCCUACGGGAGAAAGCAGGGGACCUUCGGGCCUUGCGCUAUCAGAUGAGCCUAGGUCGGAUUAGCUUGUUGGUGAGGUAAUGGCUCACCAAGGCGACGAUCCGUAACUGGUCUGAGAGGAUGAUCAGUCACACUGGAACUGAGACACGGUCCAGACUCCUACGGGAGGCAGCAGUGGGGAAUAUUGGACAAUGGGCGAAAGCCUGAUCCAGCCAUGCCGCGUGUGUGAAGAAGGUCUUCGGAUUGUAAAGCACUUUAAGUUGGGAGGAAGGGCAGUAAGUUAAUACCUUGCUGUUUUGACGUUACCGACAGAAUAAGCACCGGCUAACUCUGUGCCAGCCGCCGCGGUAAAUACACCGAGUAAUACA